UCUCCAUUAGCAAAUCCAAAAAGCGUCUUUUCCCAUUAGUUCCCCAAUUCACAAGGGAAAGAACUAAGAAGAUGAGUAUGGGGACAGCUUUGAGGAUGAUUUUCCUUGUGGUGUUUAUUGGGUGGCUCAUGGUUUGGGUUUUGUUGCCAACAACGAUAUACACACAAGCAUGGACUCCUAAGCUAAACUGCAAGCUCAAUUCAACAUAUUUUGGAGAACAAGGGACAAAUCUUCUGCUUUUCUCAUUUCCCAUGAUGUUCAUAGCCGCUUUGGGCUGUGUUUAUCUCCAUGUUCAGCAGGAAUCAAAAAAAAUUAACUCCAAAAGUGUUGUUAAAAGUCAUCGUUUGGCCUUCUCGAAACGUCCGCUGCUUGUGAUGGCUCCUCUGGGAAUUGUUACUGCAACGGAGCUUGCCUUUUCUGCCAUGUUCAUUGCACUCUUAAUCUGGUCUCUAUUUAAUUACAUAAAUUAUUACACCUUCGAUCACCCCUUUGUGCAUAAAGCAGGCGAGAAAUUGUGGCAAACAAGGUUUCGAAGUGUAUCAUUCAUACUGGGGUAUGUAGGAAACAUAUGCUGGGCAUUUCUCUUCUUUCCUGUGAGUCGAGGGUCUUCAAUUUUGCCUCUUGCUGGGCUCACAUCAGAGUCUAGCAUCAAGUAUCAUAUAUGGCUCGGCCAUCUUUCUACGGUUCUUUUUGCCGCACAUACUAUCGGUUUCAUCAUUUACUGGAGCACGACUCACCAAAUGGCUGAGAUGCUUGAAUGGAGAAAAGAUUGGGUGCCAAAUGUAGCUGGGGAGAUUGCAUUUGUAUUUGCAAUGGGAAUGUGGGUGACAAGCUUUCCUCGCGUGAGGCGAAAGAUGUUUGAGGUUUUCUUCUAUACCCACCAUCUCUAUGGGUUCUAUAUCUUUUUCUAUGUACUGCAUGUUGGCGCUGCCUACUUCUGCAUGAUCCUUCCUGGAAUAUACCUCUUCUUUAUUGAUCGGUUCUUGAGAUUCCUACAGUCCAGACGAAGGGCUAGAUUAGUCUCUGCACGCAUCUUACCUUGUGACACUGUUGAAUUGAACUUCUCCAAGAGCCCAGGGUUGAUUUAUAAUCCCACAAGCAUAUUGUUUUUAAAUGUGCCUAGCAUUUCCAAGCUUCAGUGGCACCCUUUUACAAUUACUUCUAAUUGUAAUAUGGAGCCAGAUAAGCUCAGCAUUGUCAUCAAACGCGAUGGAAGUUGGUCCCAAAAGCUUUACCAGGAACUUUCUUCUUCUGUGGAUUACCUUAAUGUUUCUGUUGAAGGACCUUAUGGUCCUACUUCCUCUCAUUUUUUGAGGCACGAGUCCUUGGUGAUGGUGAGUGGAGGAAGUGGCAUUACUCCUUUUAUCUCCAUAAUUCGCGAGAUCAUUUUCGGAAGCCAAAGUGAAGAAUUAGAUGUUCCGCCAGUUCUCCUAAUUUGUGCAUUCAAGAACUUGGCAGAUCUCACCAUGUUAAAUCUCUUACUUCCUAUCUCAGACACACACACACAGAUUUCCAAAAUGCAGUUGCAAAUAGAAGCCUAUGUGACCAGAGAGAAUGAGCAGACUUUUACAGAUUCCGAAAAGCACCUCCAAACCAUUUGGUUCAAGUCAGAUCCAUUUGACUCACCUAUUUCUGCAGCUCUAGGCCCAAACAACUGGUUAUGGCUUGGUGCAAUAAUCUCAUCAUCAUUUGUCAUGUUCCUUCUCAUUUUGGGCAUUUUCACUCGUUACUACAUUUUCCCUAUUGAACAAGAAACCUAUGAGCCUUACCAUUUCACCUUGAGAGCUCUUUGGGACAUAUUUUUGGUUUGUACCUGCUUUUUUAUAGCUUCUAGUGCAAUCUUUCUUUGGUGCAAGAAACAAAAUGCCAAGGAAUAUGAGCGAAUCCUAAACCUGAAAGCUCCAACACCACCAACUUCACCAUGGUCUCAAUUUUAUGUUGCGGAUAGGGAGCUUGAAAGCCUUCCUCAUGAGUCCCUUGUUCAAGCCACCAAGGUGCAUUUUGGUGCAAAGCCUGAUCUUAAGGAAAUUCUGCCUAGGUGCGAAGGAUCAGAUAUUGGAGUCUUAGUUUGUGGCCCAAGGACUAUGCGACAUGAGGUUGCCAAAAUUUGUUCGUCUGGGUUGGCAGAUAAUUUGCAUUUCGAGUCCAUCAGCUUUAAUUGGUGAUGUAUUUGGAAGGUGAUUGUGUUCGAUAUAGCAUUGCAGACAAUCUACUUUUAACGACUACAAGCUACACUGGAAGGGGAUUCUUUGCUGGUGGUGCAGUCCCUUGCCGAUGAUGCUCUGAGUUUUGCUGGUUUUGGUAGCUUAAUUUAUUAGAGAUUCGAUGAUCUUUUUUAAGUGUUUCCAUUGUUUAAACUUUUCUCACACUGGACAGGAAGGGAAUAACUUAGCUUAUAAUCUAGCCAAACAUUCUUUAAAUGUUCUUGAUAUUUUAGUGUGGAUGAAGGAUGUUCUACCGAAGUUUCAUUGUUUUUUUAAGGAUGAUUUUGGGCUUGUUUGGAUCACCAUGAUUUUAAGUGAUAUCACUCAGUUUUCAUCAUUGAGUUUCCAAAACGCAUGGGUCCCAUCGAAAAAAUCUUAUUUGGCUUAGUUUUUGGGUGAUGUUUCCAUUACUCAAAACUUAAAAAUUUGAGUGAUGGAUGGUGUUUUUAGUUUCUGAAAUAUGAGUUAUGAUGGCAAAAGGUGAGUUAUGUGAUUGAGUAAU